rnacentral:rRNA from 1 species
AUUGAACGCUGGCGGCAUGCUUUACACAUGCAAGUCGAACGGUAACAGGUUAAGCUGACGAGUGGCGAACGGGUGAGUAAUGCAUCGGAACGUGCCCAGUCGUGGGGGAUAACGCAGCGAAAGCUGUGCUAAUACCGCAUACGAUCUAUGGAUGAAAGCGGGGGACCGUAAGGCCUCGCGCGAUUGGAGCGGCCGAUGUCAGAUUAGCUAGUUGGUGGGGUAAAGGCCCACCAAGGCGACGAUCUGUAGCUGGUCUGAGAGGACGACCAGCCACACUGGAACUGAGACACGGUCCAGACUCCUACGGGAGGCAGCAGUGGGGAAUUUUGGACAAUGGGCGCAAGCCUGAUCCAGCAAUGCCGCGUGCAGGAAGAAGGCCUUCGGGUUGUAAACUGCUUUGUUACGGAACGAAAAGGACUCUGGCUAAUACCCGACGGCUCAUGACGGUACCGUAAGAAUAAG